UGUUAAAAAUUUCAUCUAUUUUUACUAUUUAAAACUGGCAUGACUAAUGAAAUAAUCAGAGCUACACGUGACGUGCCAUAUGUACUUUAUUCUGACAUACAGAGGCUAGUUUUUAAUAGUUGAUUAAGUUUCUAACA
rfam:Gossypium hirsutum cultivar TM-1 chromosome 18, whole genome shotgun sequence